AGCAUAUAUACCGUGAAACUGCGAAUGGCUCAUUAAAUCAGUUAUCGUUUAUUUGAUAGUACCUUACUACUUGGAUAACCGUGGUAAUUCUAGAGCUAAUACAUGCUAAAAACCUCGACUUCGGAAGGGGUGUAUUUAUUAGAUAAAAAACCAAUGCCCUUCGGGGCUCCUUGGUGAUUCAUAAUAACUUAACGAAUCGCAUGGCCUUGUGCCGGCGAUGGUUCAUUCAAAUUUCUGCCCUAUCAACUUUCAAUCGUAUUGUAGUGGAUUACGAUGGUUUCAACGGGUAACGGGGAAUUAGGGUUCUAUUCCGGAGAGGGAGCCUGAGAAACGGCUACCACAUCCAAGGAAGGCAGCAGGCGCGCAAAUUACCCAAUCCCGACACGGGGAGGUAGUGACAAUAAAUACUGAUACAGGGCUCUUUUGGGUCUUGUAAUUGGAAUGAGUACAAUUUAAAUCCCUUAACGAGGAACAAUUGGAGGGCAAGUCUGGUGCCAGCAGCCGCGGUAAUUCCAGCUCCAAUAGCGUAUAUUAAAGUUGUUGCAGUUAAAAAGCUCGUAGUUGAACCUUGGGCCUGGUUGGUCGGUCCGCCUCACCGCGUGCACUGAUCCGACCGGGCCUUUCCUUCUGGGGAGCCGCAUGCCCUUCACUGGGUGUGUCGGGGAACCAGGACUUUUACUUUGAAAAAAUUAGAGUGUUCAAAGCAGGCCUAUGCUCGAAUACAUUAGCAUGGAAUAAUAGAAUAGGACGUGUGGUUCUAUUUUGUUGGUUUCUAGGACCGCCGUAAUGAUUAAUAGGGAUAGUCGGGGGCAUCAGUAUUCAAUUGUCAGAGGUGAAAUUCUUGGAUUUAUUGAAGACUAACUACUGCGAAAGCAUUUGCCAAGGAUGUUUUCAUUAAUCAGUGAACGAAAGUUAGGGGAUCGAAGACGAUCAGAUACCGUCGUAGUCUUAACCAUAAACUAUGCCGACUAGGGAUCGGCGAUGUUAU
rnacentral:rRNA from 1 species